rnacentral:rRNA from 1 species
AUUGAACGCUGGCGGCAGGCUUAACACAUGCAAGUCGAGCGGGGUGAUGGUGCUUGCACUAUCACUUAGCGGCGGACGGGUGAGUAAUGCUUAGGAAUCUGCCUAUUAGUGGGGGACAACAUCUCGAAAGGGAUGCUAAUACCGCAUACGUCCUACGGGAGAAAGCAGGGGAUCACUUGUCACCUUGCGCUAAGAGAUGAGCCUAAGUCGGAUUAGCUAGUUGGUGGGGUAAAGGCCUACCAAGGCGACGAUCUGUAGCGGGUCUGAGAGGAUGAUUCGCCACACUGGGACUGAGACACGGCCCAGACUCCUACGGGAGGCAGCAGUGGGGAAUAUUGGACAAUGGGGGGAACCCUGAUCCAGCCAUGCCGCGUGUGUGAAGAAGGCCUUAUGGUUGUAAAGCACUUUAAGCGAGGAGGAGGCUCUUUUGGUUAAUACCCAAGAUGAGUGGACGUUACUCGCAGAAUAAGCACCGGCUAACUCUGUGCCAGCCGCCGCCGUAA